CCUACGGGCGGCUGCAGUGAGGAAUAUUGGUCAAUGGUCGUAAGACUGAACCAGCCAAGUAGCGUGCAGGAUGACGGCCCUAUGGGUUGUAAACUGCUUUUAUGCGGGAACAAAAUGCAUCUCGGGUCCUGCUUUGUAGGUACCGCAUGAAAAAGCACCGGCUAAUUCCGUGCCAGCAGCCGCGGUAAUACGGAGGGUGCGAGCGUUAUCCGGAUUUAUUGGGUUUAAAGGGUGCGCAGGCCGAAGUUCAAGGCAGCGGUAAAAUCCCGGGGCUCAACCAGGCUCUGCCGUGGAAACUGGGUUGCUUGAGUGCGCGGAGGGUAUGCGGAAUGCGUGGUGUAGCGGUGAAAUGCAUAGAUAUCACGAAGAACUCCGAGUGCGAAGGCAGCCUACGGGAGCGCUACUGACGCUGAAGCUCGAAGGCGCGGGUAUCGAACAGGAUUAGAUACCCUGGUAGUC
rnacentral:rRNA from 1 species